rnacentral:tRNA from 2 species
UGGCCGCGGUGCUGGACUGGGAACUGGUGCACCUCGGCGAGGUGUACGAGGAUCUCGCCUGGUUCUGCAUCCGGGCGUGGCGGU